GAACAGGUAAGCUAAAUUUAAAGCUAUUGGGCUCAUAACCCAACAAUGGAGAACUCCUCUGUUCA
rnacentral:tRNA from 1 species